UGAGAAUCCCACAGGCCGUAAACCCAAGGUUUCCAGGGGAAGGUUCGUCCGCCCUGGGUUAGUCGGGACCUAAGCUGAGGCCGAAAGGCGUAGGUGAUGGACAACAGGUUGAUAUUCCUGUACUACCAAUAAUCGUUUGAGAGAUGGGAUGACACAGUAGGAUAAGCUAAGCACACUGUUGGUUAUGUGUGCCCAAGCAUUGAGGCAGUCAGAGUAGGUAAA
rnacentral:rRNA from 1 species